rnacentral:rRNA from 1 species
AGUAACCUGCCUUGGAGUGGGGAAUAACAGCUGGAAACAGCUGCUAAUACCGCAUAAUGCAGUUGGGUCGCAUGGCUCUGACUGCCAAAGAUUUAUCGCUCUGAGAUGGACUCGCGUCUGAUUAGCUAGUUGGUGAGGUAACGGCUCACCAAGGCGACGAUCAGUAGCCGGACUGAGAGGUUGGCCGGCCACAUUGGGACUGAGACACGGCCCAGACUCCUACGGGAGGCAGCAG